UGUGUUUUUGUGUUUUCUUAUGAGAUAAUAACGCUCAGUGGGAGGGGCUUAAGAUUUAAAAAGAGGGGCCUAAUUUGGGUCUGUAAAGUCAGGCGUCGGAGUUGUACGAUCUGGAGGGCGAUAUUCUUUUAUAAACUGUCUUUUCACAAAGUGUAUCCUAGAGCUGUGACUGGUUUUGCGUUUCUUUUGACAAUUACCUCUGAUUACUUCUUGGAAAAUUGGGAGUACCUUAAAGUGAUACCAAGAUUAGCCUGUCUAGUCUGCUGGGAAUAUGAAAGAAGAAGAAGAAGAAGAAGAAGAAGAAGAAGAAGAAGAAGAAGAAGAAGAAGAUGAUGAUGAUCUGUAAAGUCAGAGUACACCUAGUCGCGCAGAAGGAAUCAAAACCACGAUGUCCCAAGGAUUCAAAGGAGGAACGAGCAACCAGAUACAACUCAAACUACACCGUGCAGAGCAGACUUUUUGGAGAUCAUGCAGUUCUUGCCUACAAUUUUUAACAUUAUGCAGAGCUUGUUGCUGUGUGUCUGAUUAGAAUUAGCUUUAUGAUGAAGAAAUCUCCUGAUGGUGAAUCUACUGUACAAGCUUUUUGCUUUUCAACUGGAUACUUUCUGCAGUUUUUUAUGGCUUCAA